UCCAUUCAUUUAUUUAUUGCUAGCAUUGAAUUUCCCUAUAACUUCCAAGAUCUUCUAGAGUCCUUCUCCACUUUUAACAGUAUAGUUAUUUGGGCAAAACUAUUGGGUAUAUUAUAUAUAAUAUAACAUGUUAUAUAUGUUAAGUAUAAUAUAACACGUUAUGUUAUGUAUAAUAUAACAUGUUAUGUAUGUUAUGUAUAAUAUAACAUGUCAUAUAUAACAUGUCAUAUAUGUUAUAUGUAAUAUUGUGUUGUUAAACAUUUUCGGUGUCAUAAUUUUUUCAGCAUUUUAUCAAUCCUGUGCUCCUGUAUAGACAAGCCCAAGUUACCAACCUGCACAGAAAAAUAGAUGGUUACCAAUUAAUUGACGUUGCCAGGUUUCAAAUUUGGGUUUCAAAGGACUAUCGUCUUCUGUACCAUCUUCAGUGACCCUUGUCCCCUUUUGUUCCUAAGACCUUUGGCUCCUGCAGGGCCUCAGAUAUUUCUUUCAGGAGUCUCCGGUUCUAUUUAUCCCAUUUGGCAAAACAGAUUAUCUUCUUCCUUCCACCCUAGCCGCCCAGCAUAUUCUUUGGACCCCAGUUUUCAGCUGUUAGAUGUUCACGCUAAUUCCCAGUUGCCCUUAUAACAAUAAUAAUAAAUUUAUUAUUUUGUUUAUAAAUAUUUUCUUGUUUGCUUAUGAUUUGAGUACUUAUGAGGAGCUAUGCAUUAUUUGCUAAUCUUUCCAUCAGCUCAGUGCAAUAGCAUUCAUUAGCUAUAGGUUAAGUUUGCAAACAUCUUUUUAUUCAAUCCUCAUAUUCUAAAAUCAACUGCCGCAUGGUAUUUCCAUUGCAAUAAUUUAAAGCAGAGGUUUUCUAAUUAUAAAACUUGGAUUUACGUCCCUCCCUUGUCAUUUGCAAGUAUAAAUUCCCUGAGCUGUGGUUUCUGGAACCAAAGGAAAUAGAAAAUCCCUGUUUGGUAAGAUUGUUGUGAAGAUAUAAUGAGAUGAUAGAUACCAACUUUUGAGCACUGUACUCCCACUUAGUAAACACCCAGUCAAUGCUAACAGUGACCAUUCCAUCACCUCUGACAGAUAAAAGGUGUUUUACGAGCACACAUCUUGUUUUACUCUUAUGACUAUACCUGAUUGGGUAAAAGAGGGUGAAUAUUAAAUUUGUUUUCAAUUUAAAAAUAUAUUUUCUAAAUCAAGAAUGGCAUGCAUGGCAGGGUCCAACAGAAAUUGGGACCAAAUGAAAUAGUGUAGUGUAACUUUUUUUUUUCUUUUUUUUUCUUUCUUUUUUUUUUCCUUUCCAGGGCUGCACUCAUGGCAUAUGGAUGUUCCCAGGCUAGGGGUCCAAUCAAAGCUACAGCUGCUGGCCUACGCCGUAGCCAUAGCCACAGCCACACCAGAUCCAAGCCAUGUCUGUGACCUACACCAUAGCUCAUGCAACACCGGAUCCUUAACCCACUGAGCAAGGCUAGGGAAGAACUUCCAUCCUCAUGGAUCCUAGUCGGAACAUUGAUUGUCCAAUAUGAAGAACUUUAAUUCCAGUUAUAUCCUGUUGGAAAUCAUUUCAUUGUUUUUAACAAAAAAGUCUCAAGAUCAU
rnacentral:lncRNA from 1 species